rnacentral:rRNA from 1 species
AUUGAACGCUGGCGGCAGGCCUAACACAUGCAAGUCGAGCGGAUGAAGAGAGCUUGCUCUCUGAUUUAGCGGCGGACGGGUGAGUAAUGCCUAGGAAUCUGCCUGGUAGUGGGGGAUAACGUCCGGAAACGGGCGCUAAUACCGCAUACGUCCUACGGGAGAAAGCAGGGGACCUUCGGGCCUUGCGCUAUCAGAUGAGCCUAGGUCGGAUUAGCUAGUUGGUGAGGUAAUGGCUCACCAAGGCUACGAUCCGUAACUGGUCUGAGAGGAUGAUCAGUCACACUGUAACUGAGACACGGUCCAGACUCCUACGGGAGGCAGCAGUGGGGAAUAUUGGACAAUGGGCGAAAGCCUGAUCCAGCCAUGCCGCGUGUGUGAAGAAGGUCUUCGGAUUGUAAAGCACUUUAAGUUGGGAGGAAGGGCAGUAAGUUAAUACCUUGCUGUUUUGACGUUACCGACAGAAUAAGCACCGGCUAACUUCGUGCCAGCAGCCGCGGUAACAC